rnacentral:rRNA from 1 species
UGGGGAAUAUUGCACAAUGGGGGAAACCCUGAUGCAGCGACGCCGCGUGAACGAAGAAGGUAUUCGUAUCGUAAAGUUCUGUCCUAUGGGAAGAUAAUGACAGUACCAUAGAAGAAAGCUCCGGCUAAAUACGUGCCAGCAGCCGCGGUAAUACGUAUGGAGCGAGCGUUGUCCGGAAUUAUUGGGCGUAAAGCGAGCGCAGGCGGUUAGAAAAGUCUGAAGUGAAAGGCAGUGGCUCAACCAUUGUAGGCUUUGGAAACUGUUUAACUUGAGUGCAGAAGGGGAGAGUGGAAUUCCAUGUGUAGCGGUGAAAUGCGUAGAUAUAUGGAGGAACACCGGUGGCGAAAGCGGCUCUCUGGUCUGUAACUGACGCUGAGGCUCGAAAGCGUGGGGAGCGAACAGG